UCACUUUGGGAUGGACCUGCGGCGCAUUAGCUUGUUGGUAGGGUAACGGCCUACCAAGGCUGUGAUGCGUAGCCGAGUUGAGAGACUGAUCGGCCACAAUGGAACUGAGACACGGUCCAUACUCCUACGGGAGGCAGCAGUAGGGAAUCUUCCACAAUGGGCGCAAGCCUGAUGGAGCAACACCGCGUGAGUGAAGAAGGGUUUCGGCUCGUAAAGCUCUGUUGUUAGAGAAGAACGUGCGUGAGAGCAACUGUUCACGCAGUGACGGUAUCUAACCAGAAAGUCACGGCUAACUACGUGCCAGCAGCCGCGGUAAUACGUAGGUGGCAAGCGUUAUCCGGAUUUAUUGGGCGUAAAGCGAGCGCAGGCGGUUUGAUAAGUCUGAU
rnacentral:rRNA from 4 species